GUCAUAUUCUCGCUGCUUAGCAUCACAACCACAUCUGACAUUGUGGGCCGUAGACAACGAAGCAUCCAAGAGUUCAACCCAUCUUUCUUCUUUCCACAAUUGCCAUGCCUUCAAGGUGAAGAAAUCUCCACAUUGAUGAAAACCAGAGUUCCUUUUCCCACUAACAAUCUCGAGAAUUAG
rnacentral:lncRNA from 1 species